rnacentral:rRNA from 1 species
AUUGAACGCUGGCGGCAUGCUUUACACAUGCAAGUCGAGCGGCAGCGCGGGGGCAACCCUGGCGGCGAGCGGCGAACGGGUGAGUAAUGCAUCGGAACGUACCGUGUAAUGGGGGAUAACGCAGCGAAAGUUGUGCUAAUACCGCAUACGAUCUACGGAUGAAAGCAGGGGAUCGCAAGACCUUGCGUUAUACGAGCGGCCGAUGUCGGAUUAGCUAGUUGGUAGGGUAAAGGCCUACCAAGGCAACGAUCCGUAGCGGGUCUGAGAGGAUGAUCCGCCACACUGGGACUGAGACACGGCCCAGACUCCUACGGGAGGCAGCAGUGGGGAAUUUUGGACAAUGGGCGCAAGCCUGAUCCAGCCAUGCCGCGUGAGUGAAGAAGGCCU